rnacentral:tRNA from 1 species
GAAUAAAUCUCAGUGGCAGAGAACUUGCCUCACAUGCAAGAGACCCUGGGUUCAAUUCCUAGCA